rnacentral:rRNA from 1 species
UACGGGGGGUGCGAGCGUUGUCCGGAAUCACUGGGCGUAAAGGGCGCGUAGGUGGUUUGAUAAGGGUGUGGUGAAAGUCCGGGGCUCAACCCCGGAUCUGCCGUGCCGACUGUCAAACUCGAGGGCUGUAGAGGCAGACGGAAUUCCGGGUGUAGCGGUGGAAUGCGUAGAGAUCCGGAGGAAGACCGGUGGCGAAGGCGGUCUGCUGGGCAGUUUCUGACACUGAUGCGCGAUAGCGUGGGGAGCAAACAGG